UACGUAGGGGGCAAGCGUUAUCCGGAUUUACUGGGUGUAAAGGGAGUGUAGACGGCAUUGCAAGCCAGAUGUGAAAGCCCGGGGCUCAACCCCGGGACUGCAUUUGGAACUGUAGAGCUAGAGUGUCGGAGAGGCAAGUGGAAUUCCUAGUGUAGCGGUGAAAUGCGUAGAUAUUAGGAGGAACACCAGUGGCGAAGGCGGCUUGCUGGACGAUGACUGACGUUGAGGCUCGAAAGCGUGGGGAGCAAACAGG
rnacentral:rRNA from 1 species